UUCACCCCCAGGUUGCGCUUCCAGAAGUUUGCUGCUGUGUGCAAGAGCCGGCAAGUUUAGCAUCUUUAUUGGAUCCGAGGGAACGGAUGAGCAGCUUAUUGGUGUCCAUAUGUACUUACCCUCUUUAAAGAGCUGUGCGCUUCGUGCUCGUGUACCACGGGAGACUAAUGGUACCGUUUAGUUGGAUUGGCUGCCAGAUAGAUGUGGUCUGCAUCGCGCAGACUAAGCGGUAUCUGCGGGUGAGGCAUGUUCUGCGUGGAAGGCAUUCCCAAAGGCAAGUUUGGGCUGAAAGGAUGGCACACGCUAUUUCGUCUCAGAGCUUUGGUCGAGACCU